UACAGAGGUCUCAAGCGUUGUUCGGAUUCAUUGGGCGUAAAGGGUGCGUAGGCGGCGCGGUAAGUCGGGUGUGAAAUCUCUGAGCUUAACUCAGAACGGCCAAGUGAUACUGCAGUGCUAGAGUGCAGAAAGGGCAAUCGGAAUUCUUGGUGUAGCGGUGAAAUGCGUAGAUAUCAAGAGGAACACCUGAGGCGAAGGCGGGUUGCUAGGCUGACACUGACGCUGAGUGCGCGAAAGCCAGGGGAGCAAACGGG
rnacentral:rRNA from 1 species